AGACUAGGAACACCUGUACCUUAUACACCAAAAAAAUUUUUCGUCUAAGUGAAAAGACUUAGAUAAUAAAGGAAGACGAAAAGACCCCGCGGAACUUUACCUUCUCCCGCUCUUCUGCCCAGAAGCACAAAAGACCAAAGGUUUGAUUGGGGCAAUCUCGGAACCACCAAGCUUCCGAUUUUUAACAAAAACGAUCCAAAAUUUGAUAAAGACCAAAAAGAAGUUACCCCGGGGAUAACAGCGUAAUCCAACUUAAGAGUACACAUCGAAAGUUGGGUUUGCGANCUCCAUGUUUNGNAU
rnacentral:rRNA from 1 species